AAACCAUGCAUUGGGCAUUUUCUAAAUAACUCAUUGAAUCGCUCCAAUGUUUCAUAUAAAGUUUUAUCCUCAGAUUGCCAAAAAGAUGUAAUAUUGUUCCUCAAUUU
rfam:Gossypium raimondii chromosome 4, whole genome shotgun sequence.